rnacentral:rRNA from 1 species
GAUGAACGCUGGCGGCGUGCCUAAUACAUGCAAGUCGAGCGAACAGACGAGGAGCUUGCUCCUCUGACGUUAGCGGCGGACGGGUGAGUAACACGUGAUAACCUACCUAUAAGUCUGGGAUAACUUCGGGAAACCGGAGCUAAUACCGGAUAAUAUAUUGAACCGCAUGGUUCAAUAGUGAAAGACGGUUUUGCUGUCACUUAUACAUGGAUCCGCGCCGCAUUAGCUAGUUGGUUAGGUAACGGCUUACCAAGGCAACGAUUCGUAGCCGACCUGAGAGGGUGAUCGGCCACACUGGAACUGAGACACGGUCCAGACUCCUACGGGAGGCAGCAGUAGGGAAUCUUCCGCAAUGGGCGAAAGCCUGACGGAGCAACGCCGCGUGAGUGAUGAAGGUCUUCGGAUCGUAAAACUCUGUUAGUAGGGAAGAACAAAUGUGUAAGUAACUAUGCACGUCUUGACGGUACCUAAUCAGAAAGCCACGGCUAACUACGUG